GACGAACGCUGGCGGCGUGCUUAACACAUGCAAGUCGAACGGAAAGGCCCUGCUUUUGUGGGGUGCUCGAGUGGCGAACGGGUGAGUAACACGUGAGUAACCUGCCCUUGACUUUGGGAUAACUUCAGGAAACUGGGGCUAAUACCGGAUAGGAGCUCCUGCUGCAUGGUGGGGGUUGGAAAGUUUCGGCGGUUGGGGAUGGACUCGCGGCUUAUCAGCUUGUUGGUGGGGUAGUGGCUUACCAAGGCUUUGACGGGUAGCCGGCCUGAGAGGGUGACCGGCCACAUUGGGACUGAGAUACGGCCCAGACUCCUACGGGAGGCAGCAGUGGGGAAUAUUGCACAAUGGGCGGAAGCCUGAUGCAGCAACGCCGCGGGCGGGAUGACGGCCUUCGGGUUGUAACCCGCUUUCGCCUGUGACGAAGCGUGAGUGACGGUAAUGGGUAAAGAAGCACCGGCUAACUACGUG
rnacentral:rRNA from 1 species